ACUGACUGGCUCAGCGUGUGCCUACCCUAAGCCGGCAGGUGCGGGUAACCCAUUGAACCCCAUUUGUGAUGGGGAUCGGGGAUUGCAAUUAUUCCCCAUGAAC
rfam:Monodelphis domestica chromosome 1, whole genome shotgun sequence.